rnacentral:tRNA from 1 species
GUAGGGGAACCUGCGGCUGGAUCACCUCCUUUCUAAGGAUGGUUCUUCAGAAGCUUGCUUCUAUCGAACCGUUUUAGAAACAUCAGUGGCCAACGAUCGUCAGGAUUGUUGAGCUGCAUUGGCGGGAUUUCGCCGUCUUCGUUUCUCUUUCUUCGCGGACGAACACGCGCUGGGCCUGCGAGAGCAGGGUCCCUGGUCCUUGACGGGAUAUGCGUUAGGGGCUUGUAGCUCAGUUGGUUAGAGCGCGCGCUUGAUAAGCGUGAGGUCGGAAGUUCAAGUCUUCCCAGGCCCACCACACUCAUCGGGUAAGCAUUCGUCUUCUGGUUACGGGGCCAUAGCUCAGCUGGGAGAGCGCGUGCUUUGCAAGCAUGAGGUCGUCGGUUCGAUCCCGUCUGGCUCCACCAGAUGGUUUGAUCACCGAGGCUGUGUUUGCAGGUAUUCAACCGUCGUCCGCGAAACAUCACUUCGCACCUGCUAGUCUGGAUAGACAGUGAGGUUGCGUGAUUUCUGACAUCGUAAAGAGGAGAUCGAUCCGAGUUGGAUCGGGCAGCAAGCAAUUGCUGCGCGAACCUUCAUUAUCUCCGGAUCAUUUCGGCGCUCGCGCGCCUUUCAAUGCGGCUCACAAGGCUGCGUCUGAAGGGAAUGCGGGUUGUAAAUGAUCCUUUUAGCGAAGCUUGACCGCCUCGCUAUCGGAACGAUCUUACGAAGCAAGCUGGUCUUUCUAAUCAUUGUCCGGCUGUACGUAGCGUUCAUCGAGGGCGCGUGCCGUAAGGCAAUCGUACAGACAACAUUCUGCCGAGUGUGUGGACAUUGAUAAUGAGAGCAAUCAAGUGCCUUAUGGGUGUUCGGUGGAUGCCUUGGCGCUGAA